ACCACAAAAAACUGCCGAAAA
rnacentral:miRNA from 1 species